rnacentral:rRNA from 1 species
AGCUCCAGUAGCGUAUGCUAAAGUUGUUGCAGUUAAAAAGCUCGUAGUUGUGUUUUAUUUUCUUUUUGAGGUUAUUUACUGAGCUCUUUGCGAGUUUAUGAUGAUAUUUCGGAAGAAAAUGAUAUUUCGUUUUUUGUGGUGUUUUUGCCUUGACUGACAAAAUUUCCAUAAAGACGACGUUCACUGUGAGAAAAUUAGAGUGUUCAAAGCAAGUGCAAACUGAAUACGUUAGCAUGGAAUGAUAACAAAGGACUCGCUAUUCUUUUGUCGGUUAUGAGAAUAACAAGUAAUGACUGAUAGAGACGGAACGGGGGUGCUAGUACUGACUGGCCAGAGGUGAAAUUCAGUGACCCAGUCAAGACUAACUACUGCGAAAGCAUUCACCAAGCACGUCUUCUUU